GAUGCAUUUUGAAUUAUGGUUGAACUUGUAAUCUUCCAGUGCAGCAUAAAAAUUAUGGACACAUUUCUUACAUUUGCAGGUGUUGGGAAGAGUUCUCUACUUCUAAGGUUUGCAGACAACACGUUUACGGGCAACUACAUAACGACGAUUGGCGUAGACUUCAAGAUCCGCACACUAGAGGUAGAUGGGGAGAGAGUAAAAUUACAAAUCUGGGACACCGCAGGACAAGAACGCUUCAGAACCAUCACUUCCACGUAUUAUCGAGGAACCCACGGAGUAAUAGUGGUAUACGAUGUAACCAAUGGGGAGAGCUUUGCUAAUGUCAAGCGCUGGCUGCACGAAAUUGAGCAAAAUUGUGAAGUAGUCAACAGAAUAUUAGUUGUGGGAAACAAAAAUGAUUGUCCUGAUAGGAAGGUUGUAUUGUAUGAAGAUGCCAAACGUUUCGCUGAUCAAAUGAAUAUUAAGCUCUUUGAAACUAGUGCGAAGGACAAUAUCAACGUGGAAGAGAGUCCCCUAAUGUAACGAUCAGGGUUCUCUCUUUCCUGGACUUGGACCCCCAAAUGUGACGACCCUAUUGGGGUGUGAAGGUUACAUUAAAAAAAAAAAGCAAUUCCAACUGACUGGUGGAUGACUCUUCUCGAGCACUCACUUAGACUCUGGUGGGAAGAAGACUGCUUUCUCUGCACGCGCAGGACAAUACGCGGGUAGCCGCCUCAGUCAGUCUUGGCCAGCAGCCUGUGUCAGAUGUUCACAUUGAUGACAAAGAUGGUAUUACAAA
rnacentral:misc_RNA from 1 species